GGAUAGUCAGACUGCAACUUUUUGCCACCAUAAAACAAUGCUGCAUUAACUAUCCUUGCAAAUAUAUCCUUACAUCAUAUCUUUUAUAUAAUAGUUUUGCAAAACUAUUGUUGAUUCAUAAACUAUUUAUUUUUAACAUCAGUAAUGUAAGAUUAUUUUCUAAAAUUUUGCUGUAAUCCACUCUUACAAGCUGUAUUUGAAAGAACAGUUUUCCUGUAUCCUGAACACCUCUAGACUUUUUCUCUUUAAAGUAUUAAACAUCUUGUUAGUGAAAAUAAUAUUGCUGGUAUGUUUAAUUUGUUUUUUCCUUGAUUACUUAUCAGAUUGAACUUUUUUCAUCUGUUCUUUAACCCUUUUUUUUUCUUCUCUCAAUUGCAAGUUUAUUUCUUUUUUUUUCAGUUGAGUUGUCUCCCUUUUUUCUUACUAAUGUUUUGGAAGGUUUUGUCUGUUAAGGAUUAACCAUUGCUUGUCAUAAGUGCUACAGAUAAUUUUCCCAGGCCAUUAUUUGUCUUUUGACUUUGCGAUGUAUUAACACACAGUUUUAUUUAUUUAUUUAUUUAUUUUCAUCUUUUUUAGGGCUGCACCCACGGCAUACGGAAGUUCCCAGGCUAGGGGAUCUGGCAUUGCCGUGAGCUGUGGUGUAGGUCGCAGAGUUGGCUUGGGUCCUUUAUUGCUAUGGCUGUGGUAUAGGCUGGCAGCUGUAGCUCCAGUUUGACCCCUAUCUUGGGAAUUUCCAUAUGCUGCAGCCUUAAAAAGCAAAAAAAAAAAAAAAAAAAAAAUCCUGUUUGAAAUCUUAAUUUGGCUCCAGCUUUAAAAAAGAAUUCAUUCACCUGGUAUGGAAUUCAAAUCUUACUAAUUUUGAUAAAUGAACGAAAAGCUAAAAUAAAUGAGUGAGUUAUGAGUAAGAUUAUUUAAGUAAAUACAAGUUUUCUAGCUUCCAGAAAGAGAAAAAUUUGAAUCAGACAACAGAUGACUUGAUAACUAGAGGAAAUUUGAAUAUCUACCUUGAUCACCAAGAGAUUUCUACUUAAAUGUAAAAAUUUUAGUUUUAAUUAAUUAUAAAAUUGUUUAAUUAAAUAUAAAGUUUUUAAAAAUUAUGCUAAAGCAACUGAAAUACUUCUCUUGCAGUGUUUGGGAACCACUAAAUAUUUUCACUGAGAAAACAAAUGUCAAUUUUGGACAGUCCACCAUUUGAAUUAAUUAGUAGAGUUUAUACUAAUGAGAUUUUACUUUAAAACCUUUUAUUUUCAAAGAUUUUUAUUUUUUCCAUCAUAGUUAUAAUACCUUUUGGGUCUGUCCUUUAAAUUGACUCAUGUUGGUAGUGUUGGAAAUUACAAUGACUCUGGCUCCGGUCAUCAGUGUCAGAAAGUGAAACACAUGGACAAGGAGAAAUCUCGACAAGGCUCUUUACUAGGCAUUCCAAAAAGUGUGCCGAACAAAGGACCCUCCCCUAUUUAUCCCUAACGCAGGUGAUUUACCUGUCCCCUUCCCAUUGGUCAGGUGA
rnacentral:lncRNA from 1 species